UACGGGGGGGGCAAGCGUUGUUCGGAAUUACUGGGCGUAAAGGGCUCGUAGGUGGCCAACUAAGUCAGACGUGAAAUCCCUCGGCUUAACCGGGGAACUGCGUCUGAUACUGGAUGGCUUGAGUUUGGGAGAGGGACGCGGAAUUCCAGGUGUAGCGGUGAAAUGCGUAGAUAUCUGGAGGAACACCGGUGGCGAAGGCGGCGUCCUGGACCAACACUGACACUGAUGAGCGAAAGCCAGGGGAGCAAACGGGAUUAGAUACCCCGGUAGUCCUGGCCCUAAACGAUGAAUGCUUGGUGUGGCGGGUAUCGAUCCCUGCCGUGCCGAAGCUAACGCAUUAAGCAUUCCGCCUGGGGAGUACGGUCGCAAGGCUGAA
rnacentral:rRNA from 1 species